rnacentral:snoRNA from 1 species
AGCCCAUGGUGCGGGCACCUUCUCAAUAGAUCCUUGUAUCUCUCCCAUGCAUCAUAAAGUGUUUCUAAAUCCAUCUACACAAAAGAAGAAAUAUCAUUCAUUAAUUU